GCUAGUCCUACUCAGCCGGU
rnacentral:miRNA from 1 species